AUCUCUGGUCACCCCGGCUCCAAAACGACAAUAAUCCCUGUGUCCAGGAUUAUCCUCUAUCCUCACUUCCAGAGAAACACAACUAGCGCCAUCGCUGUGGCAAAACUGGCCUACCCAGUUUCUUUUACCCCAGUUGUCCUGCCCAUCUGCCUCCCCUCAUCUGCAGCCCAGCUCAAGAACUCAACCUCCUGCUGGGUGACUGGAUGGGGCUAUUCUGGAAUACACCAACAUAUGAAGCCAUCUUACAUACUGAAGGAGCUAAAGGUGCCCCUUAUUGAUCUCCAGACAUGCAGCGACUACUAUCAGAAAGCAAACUUGCAUGGAAUCAAGCCCAUCAUCAGUGAAGAAAUGAUCUGUUCCAAGCUCCCAGUGGGGCAGAUGGAUCAGUGUAUAGGCAGUAGAGGAGAUCCCCUGACAUGUAGAGUGGAGGAUUUCUGGGUCCUGGCAGGAGUGGUCAGCUGGGGAUCAAACUGCAUCCGAACCAAUGAGCCUGGAAUAUAUACAAACAUCAGUUUCUACAAAUCUUGGAUUGA